rnacentral:rRNA from 1 species
CACGUAGUUAGCCGGGGCUUCUUACUCAGGUACCGUCAUUUUCUUCCCUGCUGAUAGAGCUUUACAUCACGAAUGACUUCUUCACUCACGCGGCGUUGCUGCAUCAGGGUUUCCCCCAUUGUGCAAUAUUCCCCACUGCUGCCUCCCGUAGGGGUUUGGGCCGUGUCUCAGUCCCAAUGUGGCCGUUCACCCUCUCAGGCCGGCUACUGAUCGUCGCCUUGGUGGGCUUCUACCCCCGCAACCAGCUAAUCAGACGCGGAUCCAUCUUACACCACCGGAGUUUUUCACACUGAGCCAUGCGGCUCUGUGCGCUUAUGCGGUAUUAGCACCUAUUUCUAAGUGUUAUCCCCCAGUGUAAGGCAGGUUAUCCACGCGUUACUCACCCGUCCGCCACUAAGUUACGAAUCACUAGGUUUCAUCGUAACUCCGUUCGACUUGCAUGUGUUAGGCACGCCGCCAGCGUUCAUCCUGAGCCAGGAUCAAACUCU